AUUGAACGCUGGCGGCAUGCCUUACACAUGCAAGUCGAACGGCAGCACGGGAGCAAUCCUGGUGGCGAGUGGCGAACGGGUGAGUAAUAUAUCGGAACGUGCCCGGUCGUGGGGGAUAACGUAGCGAAAGCUACGCUAAUACCGCAUACGAUCUACGGAUGAAAGCGGGGGAUCGCAAGACCUCGCGCGAUUGGAGCGGCCGAUAUCAGAUUAGGUAGUUGGUGAGGUAAAGGGCUCACCAAGCCGACGAUCUGUAGCUGGUCUGAGAGGACGACCAGCCACACUGGGACUGAGACACGGCCCAGACUCCUACGGGAGGCAGCAGUGGGGAAUUUUGGACAAUGGGCGCAAGCCUGAUCCAGCAAUGCCGCGUGCAGGAUGAAGGCCUCGG
rnacentral:rRNA from 1 species